GUAACCAUAGCCGAUGGAAGACAGCGAGGCAGAGACGAAGAACUUCAGGAUCUGGCAGCACAAUUAGAUGUUGAAACACAACAGUAGAAAAGAACUGAUGGAGAGGGAACCUGCUGUGAAGGAUACAGUGGAAAGGUGGCCAGCACUCUUUAUGGAGAGUCAGAUUCUGGCAGAGUUCACUCUUAUAUCUGUCAAAGACCUACAAACCGAAUUAUUUCUAGAACUGGACCGUUGACAUCUCAGAGCCAAAGGGGGAGACAUUGGCUCUAAACUUAAGAAGAUUCUGCAACAGAAUUUCAACAUUCAACAUUGAAAAUAAUAAAUCUGACAUCAUUGGGAGACGAACAGCAGUUCUUCAUGGCCUUCCACUCCUCCUUGGAGAAGACCCCACUGAUUUUUACAAGACAUUAAUUGUAAGUAGUUUUGUCUGUUUUGUUCUGGUAUUAUGGGGCUUUCGCACUGCAGGAACGAUUUCAUAGUUCCGGGAUGAUUUGGCAGAAGUACCUUCUUUUUGUUGUUUGCACCUCAGGAACCGGCCGGAAUUUUAGUUUGGAGGAACACUUUAGCUCCUUCUCCUAGGCAGGAUCUAAACCAGCAGGACGCGAACGAACUGUAACGUAAGCAAACGCUGACAGGCCAAACUUCUGUUGUUGGUUGUUUGUCGUUGUUCAACGGACGCGCUUAAAUGACAUCGCUGUCGACCAGCUACAUCACUAAAUAGUACCUUUUGCCGUUGCGAAUGCGAUUGAGGGAAAACUUAGUUCACGAACAAAAGCCACAUUUACUCGUUCUGGAACUUUGCGUUUAGUAAUGCAAAUAGUUCUUGAACAAAGAAUGGAAUAAGGAAAAGAGAAAUAUGAAUGAAUUAUUUAGAAGGGAAGAAAAAAAUUAGAUAAGGCAUUAAGAAAAUUAACGUAGAAGAGUAAAGAAAAGUUGGAAUGAGGCUAGAAAUUUAGACAAAAGAAUAAAGACACAACUAAGAUGGGAAAAAAUAAGUCAAACAAACAACAGAAAAGAGGAGGAAAGUAAAAGAAAAGUAGGACAAAAGAAGGUUAGAAAUGAAAGAAAGAAAAGGAAGUCAAAUGUGUUAUGGAGAAUUAAAAACCACUCAAAAUCAUGCAGAACAAAAUGUAAACGUUUAAUAAAUUAUUUUACGAAAUGCUACAUUUAUAUCACUUUUCAAGUGUCAAAUUAGCAGUUUCAGAAGAGGUUUCAUUUUUAUAGCUGGCCUUCAAUUUCUAUGAUCUUUUUGUAUAUUUAACCCCUUAACAUGCACCAGGCCCAUGGGCAGGCCAGAAGGAUCCAACAGAGUUUUGAGGUUUCAUCACAAGCAUUUUUAAAUACUUUAUAUAUUGGUUAAAUAUGUGCAAAACCCACAUGCAGACGUUAAACAUAACUAAUGAUUUAUGGAAAAAAAAUGAAAAUGAACAAGUUUGGAGAUUCCAGGUUUCUGUCGGACAGUGACUGUAGCGAGGAAGGCAGGGCGAGAGCCAUGGGGCGGGUAAGGCGGGGCCGGCGGCGUAAGUGGCAACGAGUGUCAGCUGUGUGACCGCCGGUUCCCGCAUGCCUCACAGGGGGAGCUCGGGAGCAUAAGAGGACGAGCGACCGGACCAUCGAGAGAGAGGACCCGGGCCCGGAAACAGACUAUAAUGAUGAAGGCAAUUCAAGCGGCAUAUUCACAUUGAACCCUAAGGACUGUGGAACCAUACCUAACUCGCUGAAGCUUGACGCCACAUCCACUGCCAUCUUUUUGGAAGGUACAAGUCUAAUGGAUGAAAUCUUACCCAAACCAUGUGCCUCCUUUUUGGGCUCUUUUAUGCUCUGAAUUUAGAGUACUCUCCAGUAAUGAAGAACAACUUUGAUUUCAUCCAGGGGGUGAUUUUGUCACUCGGGCACAAGUCUCUGAAACUUAAAAUACUAUCUCUGAAACAUAUUCUAAUGCAGUAACGUCACUUUUCUCUAAUUGUACAUUUAACGUUAAGUGUUUUGGUAAUGUUUUAUAGAAAUAAAUUACUUUGUUGUUGUGCCAACGAUCUGU